GCAUACGUCGAUUCGGGACACAUGGUGGGAGGUCUCCUCAUUCCAGGAACCCUCUGUCCUUCGCUGCCUCCUUGGCCCUGGCGACGAGGCGACGUUGUUCCAGGCCCUCGGAGACGAGCUUGGCCUCCCACGUUUAAUGAGCAUCGAGGCCCUCCAGCUGUCAAGCUGCAACUACGAAAAGUGACAAGUCACAUGA